rfam:Parastrongyloides trichosuri strain KNP genome assembly, scaffold: PTRK_scaffold0000093
CCAACGGCCCUCUUUAGGGCCAAUAAUAUAACUUCUUUUAUCAAUU